rnacentral:tRNA from 1 species
GUCCCAGUAGCUCAACGGUAGAGCGCUCGGCUCAUAACCGAUGGGUUGUCGGUUCGAAUCCGGUCUCGGGGCACCA